UGUGAACGCUGGCGGUAGGCCUAACACAUGCAAGUCGAACGGCAGCACAGUAAGAGCUUGCUCUUACGGGUGGCGAGUGGCGGACGGGUGAGGAAUACAUCGGAAUCUACUUUUUCGUGGGGGAUAACGUAGGGAAACUUACGCUAAUACCGCAUACGACCUACGGGUGAAAGCAGGGGAUCUUCGGACCUUGCGCGAUUGAAUGAGCCGAUGUCGGAUUAGCUAGUUGGCGGGGUAAAGGCCCACCAAGGCGACGAUCCGUAGCUGGUCUGAGAGGAUGAUCAGCCACACUGGAACUGAGACACGGUCCAGACUCCUACGGGAGGCAGCAGUGGGGAAUAUUGGACAAUGGGCGCAAGCCUGAUCCAGCCAUACCGCGUGGGUGAAGAAGGCCUUCGGGUUGUAAAGCCCUUUUGUUGGGAAAGAAGAGCAGCAGGUUAAUACCCCGCUGUUCUGACGGUACCCAAAGAAUAAGCACCGGCUAACUUCGUG
rnacentral:rRNA from 1 species